CUUCUAUCCCCUCCUUAUCCCAUGGCCCUUGUCCUUUGCCUCCAUUUCACACCUGCAGGUAACAACUAAAAUGUGCAAAUUCAUAUCACCUAUCAAAGAAAAACAAAACCUGAAACAAAGAAAAGAAAAUUUUCAAAGCAGCCAAGAGAAAACUAUUAAAACAGAAAGUCAAAGUCUUCAAUAAUCAAAAUAUAAAACACAGAAAUAAAAAAAGGAAAAGAUGGUCUUUUAAAAAUUCAUAGCUAUCUAAUAGA
rnacentral:lncRNA from 1 species